rfam:Actinobacteria bacterium RBG_19FT_COMBO_36_27 rbg_19ft_combo_scaffold_6779, whole genome shotgun sequence.
UUAGAUAAUAGAGGCUAAGACUUACAUUUCAUUAAUUGGGCAUCUCGAAAUGUAAAGAGCCAGUGAUGCAACCGGCUAUUAUUUUG